rnacentral:rRNA from 1 species
UAUUGCACAAUGGGGGAAACCCUGAUGCAGCGACGCCGCGUGAGCGAAGAAGUAUCUCGGUAUGUAAAGCUCUAUCAGCAGGGAAGAAAAAUGACGGUACCUGACUAAGAAGCCCCGGCUAACUACCUGCCAGCAGCCGCGGUAAUACGUAGGGGGCAAGCGUUAUCCGGAUUUACUGGGUGUAAAGGGAGCACAGGCGGCGCGGCAAGUCUGAUGUGAAAGCCCGGGGCUCAACCCCGGGACUGCAUUGGAAACUGUCGCGCUCGAGUGUCGGAGAGGUAAGUGGAAUUCCUAGUGUAGCGGUGAAAUGCGUAGAUACUAGGAGGAACACCAGUGGCGAAGGCGGCUUACUGGACGACAACUGACGCUGAGGCUCGAAAGCGUGGGGAGCAAACAGG